AUUAAUAAGCGGAGGAAAAGAAACUAACUAGGAUUCCCUCAGUAACGGCGAGUGAAGCGGGAAGAGCCCAGCACCGAAUCGUGCGUCUUUGCGACGCAACGAACUGUGGUGUUUAGGACCAGCGCAUGCACGUCGUUCCGGCGUCCGAGUCCUCCUGAUCGGGGCUUUGCCAUAGCGGGUGUCAGCCCUCUACGGCGCCGGAACGUCGGGCCCGCGACGUCCUCGGAGUCGGGUUGUUUGAUAAUGCAGCCCAAAGUGGGUGGUAAACUCCAUCUAAGGCUAAAUACGGACACGAGUCCGAUAGCGAACAAGUACCGUGAGGGAAAGUU
rnacentral:rRNA from 1 species